rnacentral:rRNA from 1 species
UACGUAGGCAGCAAGCGUUGUUCGGAGUUACUGGGCGUAAAGGGUGCGUAGGCGGUUGUUUAAGUUUGGUGUGAAAUCUCCCAGCUCAACUGGGAGGGUGCGCCGAAUACUGAAUGACUAGAGUGCGGGAGAGGAUAGUGGAAUUCCUGGUGUAGCGGUGAAAUGCGUAGAGAUCGGAAAGAACACCAACGGCGAAAGCACUCUGCUGGGCCGACACUGACACUGAGAGACGAAAGCUAGGGGAGCGAAUGGG